rnacentral:lncRNA from 1 species
AUUUCAUGGCCAUUCGCGGCCAAAAAAAAUUAUGAAAAUCGGCAAAAUAAAAGUCGAUAAGAAGGCUUAUACUUCAGUUUUCGUUGUGAAAUGUUACCCGGGACAGCCCAUUAUUUUUCUAAAAUCCAUAAUCAAAUGCAUAACAACUCGAACAAAUGCGUUUUAUAUUGUUUUAUGGAAGAUAAAUGAACAAGGAAAUUUAUAUCCAGCACAAUGAUAUCUUUGUUUUAAUUGAAAUACGUUUUUUUCUGCACCUGCAGCGCAGUUUUACCCACAAAACAUACAAAAAACGUAAACGGUACGAACAUCCCGCGUAACGUCAAAGCAAUCUAUGGAAUUGCGAAAAUAAGGUCCACAUUGGUCAAUUAUAUACUUAUAAUAUAGAAUAGAAUAGGAUAGAAUAGAAUAGAAUAUUUUUAUUAACCAAAUAAGGGCCCCAGGAGGGCAUAUAGCAUACAGACAAUAUUAUUAUAAACAAUAACAUAUGAAAUACACAGACAAUACAAUAUAUAUAACAAGUGUUAACAAAAUAAUAAAGUAAAAGUAGCAAUGUAUUAUUAUUCAAUGAAUACUAUGUUGAAUUCAGUGACUCAAGUGCACCCGGUAAGUGUAUUUUCACUUUGAAAAGACCAACAAGAGGCAUUAGUAGUUUGUGGGGAGAAAAUAAAAAAAAUAAAAAAAAAAAAACAAUUUAAGCACUCGCACAUUUGACCAUGAGGUAUACUGCAAAUAACAAGUAUUAUUUAAUAAAGGAUAUUUAGUAUGACUUAUCUGCAGA